AACGGCCGCGGUAUCCUAACCGUGCGAAGGUAGCGUAAUCACUUGUUCUUUAAAUGAGGACUAGUAUGAAUGGCACCACGAGGGUUAAACUGUCUCCUUUUUUUAAUCAGUGAAACUAAUCUCCCCGUGAAGAAGCGGGGAUUCUUUUAUAAGACGAGAAGACCCUAUGGAGCUUUAAACAAGUUAACACCUGCUACUAAUCUUCACUUUCCUGAACCACCACAUUAAGUAUAGCACCUCUGAUUGACAGUUUUCGAUUGGGGUGAUCAUGGAGCAAAAAUCAACCUCCACGACGAAAAGGAACACCUCCUUGAGCCAAAAGCUACAACUUUAAGCACUAAAAAACUAACGCACUUUGACCCAAUUCUUUGAGCAACGAACCAAGUUACCCUAGGGAUAACAGCGCAAUCCACUUUAAGAGCUCCUAUCGACAAGUGGGUUUACGACCUCGAUGUUGGAUCAGGGUAUCCCAGUGGUG
rnacentral:rRNA from 1 species